rnacentral:rRNA from 1 species
GCCCGGAGAUAGCUGGUUCUCCCCGAAAUAGCUUUAGGGCUAGCCUCAAGGUGAGAGAUACGGAGGUAGAGCACUGAAUGUCCUAGGGGGUAUUGCACCUACCGAAGACUAUCAAACUCCGAAUGCCGUCAUCUUAUACUUGGGAGUCAGACUGUGGGUGAUAAGAUUCAUAGUCGAAAGGGCAACAGCCCAGAUCGUCAGCUAAGGUCCCUAAAUGUAAGUUAAGUGGUAAAGGAUGUGGGAUUGCACAGACAACCAGGAUGUUGGCUUAGAAGCAGCCACUCAUUCAAAGAGUGCGUAAUAGCUCACUGGUCGAGUGAUCCUGCGCCGAAGAUUUCCGGGGCUAAAACUUACUACCGAAGCUACGGCAUCAGUAAUGAUGGGUAGGGGAGCUUCCCAUACAGGUUGAAGCAUGACCGUAAGGACAUGUGGACAGUAUGGGAGUGAGAAUGUUGGCAUGAGUAGCGAGAUGUGGGUGAGAAUCCCACAGGCCGUAAACCCAAGGUUUCCAGGGGAAGGUUCGUCCGCCCUGGGUUAGUCGGGACCUAAGCUGAGGCCGAAAGGCGUAGGUGAUGGACAACAGGUUGAUAUUCCUGUACUACCGAUAACCGUUUGAGAGAAGGGAUGACACAGUAGGAUAAGUUAAGCACACUGUUGGUUAUGUGUGCCCAAGCAUU